UCAGUGAGGUUCUGAAAUCCAACUGCUUGGGAGCAGAGCCGUUAAGUAACUGCGCGUGCAGGCAGCGACUGAGGAUUUUGCAUGCUGCUUUAGAGAAAGGCGUCUUGGAACCUUGAAAAGUGAAAUUGACUGUAUCUUGGAAGAAAAUGUAAAGCAGAAGAUGUCCCUGGAUAAUCUCUAAGUGAGCAACAAGAGCCUCCAUCUCCAGGUAUAAAUCAAAGUUCUCUGUAUGUGGCAGAGCAAUGUCUGGAUUCCCAGGAGGAGGGCUGCAUUCCAGAGGGCAAAGCGGAACAUGGAAAAUUUGACUGACAGACUCCCAGUAUUUCCCCCCUCAAGGUCUUUUCAUGAAUCCAAGGGGCUUUUCUUUUUCUUUUUGAAAACAAUUUUUUUUUAAAAAAACUAAAACAAAACAUAAAAACAUAAUCAUUCCAAACAAUUACAGACAGUGUAUCGAUUGGUUAACAUCCUUUUGUGCUGACUCCCAUCUUCAAAAUAUCAAUAUCUGACCAAAACUUAUUUUUCAUUAAAAAAAAGAAUUUACAUAUUUUAUCUUAACUUCCGCUUCCUAUUUCAUAUUUCAUGUCCAUGUUUUAUUAUUUAUCCAUUGAUAAAACAAGUCCCAUAUCAAAUAAUAUUGUUUAUCUUCCUGUUCUCUUAUUUCAAAUGUCAAAUUUACUCAUUUCAGCACAGUCCAUCAUUUUCUUAAUAAUUUCUUCAUCAGUAAGUAUCUUCUCUCCUUUCCAGUUUUUUGCAAAUACAAUUCUAGCCGUAGUUAAAACCAGAGAUAUUUUUAUUAGGUAUCUUACCAGAGACAUAAAAUAGAGAAUUGCAAUAUUUAAUUGUGAAUAUUUUAACCAAGGGACUUUUCUUGAGUUUGUUAGGCUGGCCAGGUCUCCCAAGUGAGAAUUCCUCCCUUCCCCCACCCAGUUUUGAGGCCUGAACCCCGACUGGCCCUGUUGCAAAACCAUUCUUACCCCUGGGAAUGAAGAUGUUUUUCCAUGAGCUGCUCACCCCAUUCCUGUGCCUCGUCAGUUCUGACCAAAAGAAGAAGGGUAUGUCAAAGAACAUCCAUCUAGCUCAGCCUCUCCUUUCUAAGACUGGCCAGUCAGCCUGCCCAUCUGCAAGCUCCUUGUGGAGUUGGAUGCUGUCUUGGGCAGAGGUUUUUACAGGUCCUGCAGACCAUCAAUGGUGCCCCACCAUGCCCAAGGUUUAAGGAGAAGGUCAUGGCACCUGUCAGGAGGCACAGGAAGGUCUUCUAUGUUGGUGUUCAUACAACAGAAAAGGAAUGAACACCUGAGAGUUUUCCAGAGGCUCUGUGAGGAGAAGAGAAAUAGACAUGAGCCAGUCAGAAGAGUUGAGAAGCAAGUCUUUCUUUCUACCAGUUUCUUGGCAUCUGAGAAGCCUUUGUACUACCAUAACCAAGCUAAGUGUUGGCAUUUCAAUCCAUGAAGCAAGAAUGGGCAGCUGUGCACUGGCUGGUGACUUUUUAGUCAAACUCACAACCUUGUUCCAUUGGCAACCAGGGAAACAAUUUUGAACCUACACAAGAUCAUUUUGGACUAGAAAUGACUGGGCAAUCCAGUGACUGACUUGAUAGCUUCUGGCCUCUGCCUUUCAUGUGGGAAGCUGGCUGUUCACAAAAAGUACAAUUAUUGUGGCACAAAGCAGAGGGAAUCAUAGAAUCCUCAGGUAGAAGGGACUCCUAGUCCAACUCCGAAGGCAGGGUUCCUCAUACCAUCUCAGACAAAUGAUUGUCCAAUCUUUUCUUGAAAAUCUCCACAAUGGGGCACACACAACUGCAGGAGGCAAACUCUUCCACUGCUUUAUUUGAUUUCACUGUAAGGAAAUCCCUUCUUAUUUCCAGGGUUGGCUUUCUGAUGAGCGUCCAUCCGUUUCUUGGGGAAACAGAAUUAUAUUGUUUUUUCAGAAUUGUAGGUAGACAUGCCGGCCUGUAAAGAAAAUACAUUGUAUAUGUUUCUAAUCUCAUGAGCUAGGCUGAAGCUUGAGAAUUGUACCUAGGAGCUAGGAUCAGAGGCCUUCAGAGGCUAGAAACUGGCCAUAACCAGAAUUUACUGAUAUGAUAAUUACUCUAGAGACAACCCCUAGGAACUAGGACCAUAAAAGGAAAUUUGUAAAUUAGGGCAGGGGGAGAUAGAAUUAGAGUAGUGGGAGAUGUAAUCAGGGGCAGAGAUAUUGUAUUUAUUUUAGACACUGGAUAGGUUGUGACAUCACAAUUACUAAGCCAAUCAAGAAAAGGUGGGAGGUAAAUUUGUAACGGUACUAGAGAAUAUAAGACAAGUGUAUUGAUGAUUUAGAGUGUUUCCACUGUACCUGUGUGUGUAUGAUCCAGCCUCUUUGCAAAGUGAAGAAUAAAAUUAUAGUUUUUUCUUGGAA